CAGCCGCCGCGGUAAUACGAGAGGGGCAAGCGUUGUUCGGAAUUAUUGGGCGUAAAGGGCGCGUAGGCGGCCGUUCAAGUUAGAUGUGAAAGCCCUGGGCUCAACCUAGGAAUUGCAUUUGAUACUGUUUGGCUUGAGUUCGGGAGAGGUGAGUGGAAUUCCCAGUGUAGAGGUGAAAUUCGUAGAUAUUGGGAAGAACACCAGUGGCGAAGGCGGCUCACUGGACCGACACUGACGCUGAGGCGCGAAAGCGUGGGGAGCAAACAGGAUUAGAUACCCCCGUAGUCCCUGUCUCUUAUAC
rnacentral:rRNA from 1 species